rnacentral:lncRNA from 13 species
AUCAGUCAGGAUGUGGCCCAGAAGUUAAUUGACAGCAUGCCAUGGCGGAUAUCAGAGGUCUUGAAAGAGAAGGGUCAACACUGCAAAUGUUGACUCUUUGCACCAACUUCAUGUAAUUGUCAAUAAAUGCCUUUGACACUUAUGAAAUGCUUGUAAUUAUACUUCAGUAUUCCAUAGUAACAUCUGACAAAAAUAUCUAAAGACACUGAUGCAGCAAACUUUGUGGAAAUUCAUAUUUGUGUUAUUCUCAAAACGUUUGGCCACGACUGUAUACUUGACUUAAUGAGAACAUGAAGGUAUUGAAUGUGUGUUUAUGUUUGUGUAUAUUUUUAUGAUUGUGUUGUGUUUGGUUGUAUUGCAGAGUGACAGCCAUAAUAACCUCCAGGUUGAGAUGUCCAGUCUGGCUAAAAAGAAGGUGAAGUCAGUGAGAGACGUGAGAGAUGUGCGCUUCCCUGGACUUCCUGUGUUCGGCCACCAGAUGGAGCUGAAGUUUACAGAUGCAAAGCACUCGAGGAAGGAGCUGAAGAGCAGAGGAAGAGAAGAAGACUCCAGAAUACCAUCAUUGCCGUCAUCCGAUUUCACUGACCACGGAAAUAAGUAGGAUUUGGAGGGAACAGUACUACCAUUGAGAGUUGAUCUGAAUUCUUAACUGGGUCCUGGCACAGGAUGGUUUAUGUCCCUAAACAACAUUUGACUGAAGAUAAUAAAAAUAAUAACAAUAAAUGUUUUAGACACACUUGGUUUUUGUGAUAACAGAGCAUCUUUAACUUCAACAGUUAGAAUAAUGUAUUUUUUUGUUCCACUUUUCAGUACUUUAUCCACUGUGCCCAACCAACCAUUCAAAAAGAAAGAUAUUGAAAUUAAAGAUACCCCCCCAAACUGUUGUUGAGAUUCAGUUGGCACAUCCGCAUUUGCACUGAGUUGCCAUCUUACAGCAACAGCAAAAGUCAGUGGCUGCAUUUCAAACUCAUAAAAGACACACACCCUUGUCCACUUACCCUCGCCCUAUGCCUUUGGGGAAAUCUCCGCGGCCAUAGUUGUCAUCGGUCCAGAUGAUAGGCUAAGCAAGGGAAGUUUGCAAUGUAACCCCCUCAGCCCUCGUUUUUAAUAGAGUUUGCGAGUGUACAAUUAUGUUCACUUCGGGGCCUGAAACGCCCCAUAAUUAGAUUUGUGAAGAUUGUACAUCCGCCAAUAAAAGUCAGACCAAAACAUAAAACCUCAACGUCAAUAUACAAGUGUAAGUAAAACCGAAUGUAAAUAAGUUAGAAAUUGUGCUACUAAUGCACAAACACGUUUCAUAAAGUAAUUAUGUUUUUGUUUGGUUAGCUUUCGGAAAUGUUCCUUCUUCAGAAGUAGCUCGGCAGGCUAACUUUAUUUAGCUAAUUCAUUUGCUAGCUAUCAUACAGUAGGUGUAUAUUAAUAAUUAUAUAGUUAAUAUAAGUAGACGUGGAAUCAUAAUUGACUGUAGAGCAUAUAAAGCACCCACAAGCUACCGGUGGCUGAAAACACAAUCAUUGCGGGAUGAAUGCAAGUGGAUACUCGUCAGACAUCAUGAUACAUCAUCAGAAGUGUCUACUUAAUUUGAUGGCUGGGGAGAUAGGGUGUGUCUUUUAAGUGCUUGGAAUGCAGGCAAUGUGUCACGCCUGCUCCCGCUCCCCCUCUCUGGCACUUGAGGUCGCCAGGCGGCCCAUCGUUACGCACACCUGUCACCAUUGUUGCGUGCAUCAGCGCUUCAUGGGACUCACCUGGACUCUACCUUAUUGAUUGCCUCCCCUAUAUCUGUCACUUCCUCCCCAGUGUCUGCGUUAAUGUCGUUUUGUUCCCCUUGUCCAGACGCUGUCCUUGGUUUGUUUCAUGUCUGUUAUUAACUCCCUGUACUUGCUUCUCGUCUCCCAGUCUGUCCUCACACAGUGGUUGUAUUUGAUCGUUUAUUGAAAAAGUAUGGUUUUCUGCUAACAAAGUCACGCAACUACAGAGGACAAACAGGUACACAGACGUUUCAAUUAUUUUUACUCAAGAUUAUUAAAAAAAAAUGCACCUUCCCCAAUGGUAAAAAUAUUUUCACAUGUACUGUAAUAAUAAACCAAGCAUACAGACUUUGGGCGUUCAAUAUCAUUGUUUGUUUUCACCACCACAAUAGAACAUCCCUCCCUACCUUGUAGGCUUACCCAGUAUCAAAGGCUUGGGAAGUUUCAAAUGUCAUUAAACAUUUGGGUGUUUUGUAAUAGAUGUAUCUUUCUAUUCACCAAUUGGCCACUGCACAGUUUGGAUUGAUUUUUUUUUGGUCAGUUAAACAUAUAUACGCACAAAGAUUUUUUUAAAAGUGACCUGGAUUGCACAAUCAAGUCCGGGACUUGCUAUUGUGGUCCCCUUUUUUUUACAUAAAUACAUAUUAGGUUAAUUCGGGAAAGAAUUCAGACCCCUUCACUUUCUCCACAUUAUGUUAGUCUCAUUCUAAAAUUGAUUAAAUCAUUUUUUCCCCCUAAAUCAAUCUACACACAAUAUCCCAUAAUGACAAAGCAAAAACAGGUUUUGGGCAUUUUUGCAGAUUUAUAAUUUAUAAAAAAUAAAAAAAACAUUUACAUAACUUGUCAGACCCUUUACUCAGUACUUUGUUGAAGCACCUUUGGCAGCGAUUACAGCCUCAUGUCUUCUUGAGUAUGACGCUACAAGCUUGGCACAUCUGUGUUUGGGGAGUUUCUCCCAUUAUUCUCUGCAGAUCCUCAAGCUCUGUCAGGUUGGAUGGGGAGCGUCGCUGCACAGCUAUUUUCAGGUCUCUCCAGAGAUGUUUGAUCUGGUUCAAGUCCAAGCUCUGGCUGGGUCACUCAAGGACAUUCAGAGACUUGUCCCGAAGCCAAUCUUGCAUUGUCUUGGCUGUGUGCUUAGGGUUGUUGCCCUGUUGGAAGGUGAACCGUCGCCCCAGUCUGAUGUCAUGAGUGCCCUGGAACAGGUUUUCAUCAAGGAUCGAUCUGUACUUUGCCUCGAUCCUAACUAGUCUCCCUGUCGCUGAAAAACAUCCCCACAGCAUGAUGCUGCCACACCCAUGCUUUACCGUAGGGAUGUUGCCAGGUUUCCUCCAGAUGUGACGCUUGGCAUUCAGGCAAAAGAGGUCAAUCUUGGUUUCAUCAUACCAGAGAAUCUAAUUUCCCACGGUCUGAGUGUCUUUAGGCCAUCUCCAAGCGGGCUGUCAUGUGCCUUUUACUGAGGAGUGGCUUCCGUCUGGCCACUCUACCAUAAAGGCCUGAUUGGUGGAGUGCUGCAGAGAUGGUUGUCCUUCUGGAAGGUUCUCCCAUCUCCACUAAGGAACUCUAGAGCUCUGUCAGAGUGACCAUCAGGUUCUUGGUCACCUAUCUGAACAAGGCCCUUCUCCCCCGAUUGUUCAGUUUGGCUGGGCAGUCAGCUCCAGGAAGAGUGGUGGUGGUUCCAAACUUCUUCCAUUUUAGAAUGAUGGAGGCCACGGUGUUCUUGGGGACCUUCAAUGCUGCAGACAUUUUUUGGUACCCUUUACCAGAUCUGUGCCUCGACACAAUCCUGUCUCUGAGCUCGACAGACAAUUCCUAUGACCUCAUGGCUUGGUUUUUGCUGGGACAUGCACUGCCAAUUGUGGGACCUUAUAUAGACAGAUGUGUGCCUUUCCAAAUCAUGUCCAAUCAAUUGAAUUUACCACAGGUGUACUCCAAUCAAAUGGUAGAAACAUCUCAAGGAUGAUCAAUGGAAACAGGAUGCACCUGAGCUCAAUUUCAAGUCUAAUAGCAAGGGGCCUGAAUACUUAUAAGGACUUUUUGUCCUGUAU